UGUGUGUGUGUGUGUGUGUGGCCUUGUAAUUAAGGUAUUGUGCUCAUAAGCAAAAGUUGUGAUUUCAAUUCCCUGAUUGGUGGUGCACUGUGUUCUUGAACAAGACCCUUCAUUCUACACUGCUCCAGCCCACUCAACAGUAAAUGGGGACCCUCUGUGACAGACUGGCGUUUCAUUCAAGCGGAAUGUUGACCUGGCCUACCUUCCAGCCUAGCUGGCAGAGUGGGGAGGGGGGGUCAUUCAAAAGCUGCAUCAAUGCAAAGGAAGUAUAUGAUGACCGGCCAGCGGACGUAUAACAACUGAUAGCCUGGUCAGCACAGAGAUGAUAAAGGUUCUAACAUCGAGCUUGCCCUGUAGGAUGUUUUCUUCAUCAGAUGUUGAUUGGAAACACCAAUAUUGUUCCGGCACCUUCUGACGGCAAUCACUCCUGCAGCAGUGCUAAGCAUUACUAAUGCUACCAGGAAAUGUCCAGGUUCUUUAGACCUAAACUGUAGCAUUCACCCCCACAUGUUAUCUUCUGCAUUUGUGUGUAUGUGUGUGUGUGUGUGUGUGUGUGAGAUAUUAUUUUGGAUUUUAAUUUUUUUUUUUUUUAAUUCUUAAAUGGAUUUAUUCCUUCUUUCUGAAGGGAAAUCAACAUUAAGGAAUUGUUCCUCCUGCUCCCUUCUCUUUCUUUCUCCUUCUCGCUCCCUCCCGCCCUCCCUCUUUGCCACCUUGGGACUGGAAAUAUUGUCUUCAUAAUUGUGUGACUGACUAAUACCUACCUACACUGUACAGUUUCGUAGAAUUUCAGAAAAAAAAAGAGAAAAAAGAAAUAAAAACAACAAACAACUCAACUAAAAUAAUAAAAACAAUUUUGUACAGACUUU